GAAUCAACGCUGGCGGCGCGCCUAACACAUGCAAGUCGAGCGAGAAAGGGGAGCAAUCCCUGAGUACAGCGGCGUACGGGUGAGUAACACGUGGAUAAUCUACCUCUUAGUGGGGAAUAACUCUGGGAAACCGGAGCUAAUACCGCAUGAGCCCUUCGGGGGAAAGCAGCAAUGCGCUGAGAGAGGAGUCCGCGGCCGAUUAGCUAGUUGGCAGGGUAAAAGCCUACCAAGGCAUCGAUCGGUAGCCGGCCUGAGAGGGCACACGGCCACACUGGCACUGAAACACGGGCCAGACUCCUACGGGAGGCAGCAAUGGGGAAUCUUGCACAAUGGGGGAAACCCUGAUGCAGCGACGCCGCGUGAGCGAUGAAGCCCUUCGGGGUGUAAAGCUCUUUCGGCAGGGAAGAUGAUGACGGUACCUGCAGAAGCAGCUGCGGCUAACUACGUGCCAGCAGCCGCGGUAAUACGUAGGCAGCAAGCGUUGUUCGGAGUUACUGGGCGUAAAGGGUGUGUAGGCGGUUGUUUAAGUUUGGUGUGAAAUCUCCCGGCUCAACUGGGAGGGUGCGCCGAAUACUGAAUGACUCGAGUACGGGAGAGGAAAGUGGAAUUCCUGGUGUAGCGGUGAAAUGCGUAGAUAUCAGGAGGAACACCGGUGGUGUAGACGGCUUUCUGGACCGUAACUGACGCUGAGACACGAAAGCGUGGGUAGCAAACAGGAUUAGAUACCCUGGUAGUCCACGCCCUAAACGAUGCAUAUUUGGUGUGGGCAGUUCAUUCUGUCCGUGCCGGAGCUAACGCGUUAAAUAUGCCGCCUGGGGAGUACAGUCGCAAGGCUGAAACUCAAAGGAAUUGACGGGGGCCCGCACAAGCGGUGGAGCAUGUGGUUCAAUUCGACGCAACGCGAAGAACCUUACCUGGGCUCGAACGGCUGGUCAACGGCAGUGGAAACAUUGCUACCCCGCAAGGGGGUCCAGUCGAGGUGCUGCAUGGCUGUCGUCAGCUCGUGUCGUGAGAUGUUGGGUUAAGUCCCGCAACGAGCGCAACCCUUGUGUCCUGUUGCCACUCGAACGAGAGUUCGAAGCACUCUGGACAGACUGCCUCGCUUAAACGAGGAGGAAGGUGGGGAUGACGUCAAGUCAGUAUGGCCCUUACGGCCAGGGCUGCACACGUACUACAAUGCCCGGUACAAAGGGAAGCGAGACCGCGAGGUGGAGCAAAUCCCCUAAAACCGGGCCCAGUUCAGAUUGAAGGCUGCAACUCGCCUCCGUGAAGCUGGAAUCGCUAGUAAUGGCGCAUCAGCUACGGCGCCGUGAUAACUCCCCAGCAUUCACUCACCACACAUACAGGCAUUCCGCCAAUCUGCACCACC
rnacentral:rRNA from 1 species